GACAGAGGGUGCAAACGUUGUUCGGAAUUACUGGGCGUAAAGCGCGUGUAGGCGGCCCUGCAAGUCGGAUGUGAAAUCCCACGGCUCAACCGUGGAAGUGCAUUCGAAACUGCAGGGCUAGAGUCCUGGAGAGGAAGGUGGAAUGCUUGGUGUAGAGGUGAAAUUCGUAGAUAUCAAGCGGAACACCGGUGGCGAAGGCGACAUCCUGGGUUGACAUUGACGCUGAGGCGCGAAAGCGUGGGGAGCAAACAGG
rnacentral:rRNA from 1 species